AUGAUUGCUGAGAGCAGAAUUGAGCAAGAAGAGCAACAGUGUGUAUGGUUGCAGAUAGGAGAUUUCAGUGGAAAGCAGGGAAAGGUUAGGGGGCACUCCUCUCCUUUUCUUUGCAGGACACCCCCCCCUUUAGCACCUUCUUUUAAAGGUGGUGGUGGUGGAGGUGGUUGCGAGAGGGGAAGGGGGUGGGGGUUUAACCCUUCUUCUUCUUCUUCACUUGGUUGCUUCCGGCUACGCGUGGGGGUACGUCUCGUCAUCUCUCCUAAGAAUCUAUGUCUGGUGCCAAAACCGGUGGGGUAG
rnacentral:rRNA from 1 species